CUUUGGGUGUGACUGCGUACCUUUUGUAUAAUGGGUCAGCGACUUAUAUUCUGUAGCAAGGUUAACCGAAUAGGGGAGCCGGAGGGAAACCGAGUCUUAACCGGGCGUUAAGUUGCAGGGUAUAGACCCGAAACCCGGUGAUCUAGCCAUGGGCAGGUUGAAGGUUGGGUAACACUAACUGGAGGACCGAACCGACUAAUGUUGAAAAAUUAGCGGAUGACCUGUGGCUGGGGGUGAAAGGCCAAUCAAACCGGGAGAUAGCUGGUUCUCCCCGAAAGCUAUUUAGGUAGCGCCUCGUGAAUUCAUCUCCGGGGGUAGAGCACUGUUUCGGCUAGGGGGCCAUCCCGGCUUACCAACCCGAUGCAAACUGCGAAUACCGGAGAAUGUUAUCACGGGAGACACACGGCGGGUGCUAACGUCCGUCGUGAAGAGGGAAACAACCCAGACCGCCAGCUAAGGUCCCAAAGUCAUGGUUAAGUGGGAAACGAUGUGGGAAGGCCCAGACAGCCAGGAUGUUGGCUUAGAAGCAGCCAUCAUUUAAAGAAAGCGUAAUAGCUCACUGGUCGAGUCGGCCUGCGCGGAAGAUGUAACGGGGCUAAACCAUGCACCGAAGCUGCGGCAGCGACACUGUGUGUUGUUGGGUAGGGGAGCGUUCUGUAAGCCUGUGAAGGUGUGUCGUGAGGCAUGCUGGAGGUAUCAGAAGUGCGAAUGCUGACAUAAGUAACGAUAAAGCGGGUGAAAAGCCCGCUCGCCGGAAGACCAAGGGUUCCUGUCCAACGUUAAUCGGGGCAGGGUGAGUCGACCCCUAAGGCGAGGCCGAAAGGCGUAGUCGAUGGGAAACGGGUUAAUAUUCCCGUACUUGGUGUUACUGCGAAGGGGGGACGGAGAAGGCUAUGUUGGCCGGG
rnacentral:rRNA from 3 species